rnacentral:rRNA from 1 species
AUUGAACGCUGGCGGCAGGCCUAACACAUGCAAGUCGAACGGUAGCACAGAGAGCUUGCUCUCGGGUGACGAGUGGCGGACGGGUGAGUAAUGUCUGGGAAACUGCCUGAUGGAGGGGGAUAACUACUGGAAACGGUAGCUAAUACCGCAUAACGUCGCAAGACCAAAGAGGGGGACCUUCGGGCCUCUUGCCAUCAGAUGUGCCCAGAUGGGAUUAGCUAGGAGGUGGGGUAAUGGCUCACCUAGGCGACGAUCCCUAGCUGGUCUGAGAGGAUGACCAGCCACACUGGAACUGAGACACGGUCCAGACUCCUACGGGAGGCAGCAGGGGGGAAUAUUGCACAAUGGGCGCAAGCCUGAUGCAGCCAUGCCGCGUGUGUGAAGAAGGCCUUCGGGUUGUAAAGCACUUUCAGCGGGGAGGAAGGCGGUGAGUUUAAUAAGCUCACCGAUUGACGUUACCCGCAGAAGAAGCGCCGGCUAACUCCGUGCCAGCCGCCGCAGUAA